CCAGAGAACUUUCCAGAGAUGGAUUGGUGCCUUCGGGAACUCUGAGACAGGUGCUGCAUGGCUGUCGUCAGCUCGUGUUGUGAAAUGUUGGGGUUAAGUCCCGCAACGAGCGCAACCCUUAUCCUUUGUUGCCAGCGGUUAGGCCGGGAACUCAAAGGAGACUGCCAGUGAUAAACUGGAGGAAGGUGGGGAUGACGUCAAGUCAUCAUGGCCCUUACGAGUAGGGCUACACACGUGCUACAAUGGCGCAUACAAAGAGAAGCGACCUCGCGAGAGCAAGCGGACCUCAUAAAGUGCGUCGUAGUCCGGAUUGGAGUCUGCAACUCGACUCCAUGAAGUCGGAAUCGCUAGUAAUCGUGGAUCAGAAUGCCACGGUGAAUACGUUCCCGGGCCUUGUACACACCGCCCGUCACACCAUGGGAGUGGGUUGCAAAAGAAGUAGGUAGCUUAACCUUCGGGAGGGCGCUUACCACUUUGUGAUUCAUGACUGGGGUGAAGUCGUAACAAGGUAGGCGUAGUGCU
rnacentral:rRNA from 1 species